GACAGAGGGUGCAAACGUUGUUCGGAAUUACUGGGCGUAAAGCGCGUGUAGGCGGCCAUCUGAGUCGGGCGUGAAAUCCCACGGCUCAACCGUGGAAGUGCACUCGAAACUGGAUGGCUAGAGUCCUGGAGAGGAAGGUGGAAUGCUUGGUGUAGAGGUGAAAUUCGUAGAUAUCAAGCGGAACACCGGUGGCGAAGGCGGCCUUCUGGACAGUGACUGACGCUGAGACGCGAAAGCGUGGGGAGCAAACAGG
rnacentral:rRNA from 1 species